AAACGGUUAGCUCAGUUGGUAGAGCACUCGCAAGUAACGCGAGAGGUCGCGGGUUUGAGUCCCGCAUCGUUCA